rnacentral:tRNA from 1 species
GCCAGUGUGGCAUAGUGGUUGGAGUGUUGGACGAUGACUCUGGAGACCAGGGUUCGAGCCCAGCUUGGCCA